GGCCCCCAAGAUGGCGUCGUCCCCCCCAAGAUGGCGUCGUCCUUGCUGGCCUGGCGCGCUUCCUCACUUGUGAGCUGCAGGGGGAGAAGUGGACCGACGCUUCUGGGCUGGGUCACGGAUGGAGCCUCCUAGGAAUCUUGGGCACUUUCGAGGGGCCCCGUCCGACUGGGCUUCACUCUGGGUUCCUCCAGACAGCGGUUUCUCUGUUCCAGUUGGUGCUAAUCAACCAUGAGAUGAUUUCGGUGAACUACCUGCCAUCAAUCAAAAUGUGUAUUUCCAGCCCUUUUUUUCCGAACUGCGUGUUUUCCUUCUGGGGCUGUUUCUGCGCCGUGGCCUCAUCCCCAUGAACGUCUGUACAUUGGCUCUGCGCCUUGGUGUUUGCCGCCGUCUGUUGCUUUUGUCUUCGCGGUCGGUCCGCUCUGCGCAGCGGGAGCAGAUGCCUCCUGCACCCGGUUAGGUCGUGCCUGCCGCCUGCCGGCUGGGGUGCCACGCGCUCCUGGCUCCUCCCCUUCGUGAACACGUGCAGGCUCCCCGUCAGGUUAUGAGUGUCUAGGUUUACUGACCUUGGCUCCUGUCACUGCCCUCCAGCUUUCCUUGGGACUGAAUGACAAGCAUUUCCUGUGCCCCCACAGAUGUCCGCGGCACAACCUAAGGGUGACCAGGUGGUGCCGACUCUGGUGGGGAUUUGGAAGUACUGGCACUCGGGGCCUGGGGGACCCAGACCCGGUGUUGCUUAGUGACUCAUUCAGCAGCUACUUAUCGAGCACUUUGUAGCGCGGAACAAGGGACCAGAGCCUAGCCCUGGCGGCCUGAAAGUGACACCGCGGGUGGAGGGCACAGAGUGUUGACUGAGCCUGGAUCCCUGCUGGUCACUGGAUGGCAAUUCAGAUGUGUUUACCUCCGGCAUUAAGGGACUGAUGUACCACUUGCACCAGUGCCGGCUCCAUCACUCCUGGAAGAUUCGCAUGCUCUGUGCUCACACCCGCAUCGUGUCCCAGAGGAAAAUGCAGGCUGGCGGUCUUGAGGCCACCCCCAAGCUAAGCGCCGAAGUUCUGUGCACGCGGGGAAAGAGACCUCACAGGCAGGUGUACACGCCCAUGUCACGUGGGGACGCGGACGCACCGCUUGAUGCGCCUUGGGUAAGAAUGUGUUUCAGAGGAUUCUUUGGAAACGUCAUGGGUUUUCCUGAAAAACCGUGGUGAUGAAUUGUCUAGCUAACAUCUAGUUCAAACUUUCUAGCCAAAUGUAAUCACUCCUUCCGGUAACAGUAUGAUAAAUUUUAACUAUUGACUAAUCAAGAGAGGAAUAAGGGAAAACCUUGAUUUCAUUCAUGGCUUGCUAACUUGUUUUUCAUUGAAAACAUAAGCAAUGUGGUUUUAAAAACCUUUAGAUUAAGAAUUUACAAAAUAAAUUCUUAUAAAAUAACAUACUUUAAGUAAACUAAUUAUUUAACUUACAUACUCAGUAAUUUACUAUAAUAUACAAUAACAAUAAUAAUAUGAUAAAUUGAAUUUAGGUUUUAAAUCGCCAGAUUCCCUUAGAAACGACCUGUCAUUCCUUUGGUAUGUAGAGAAGUCUGAUAACCAUUUCAUCAUGGAUGCUUGUUAAAAAUUCCCCGUCUCCUUAGAUGCUAGCAUGGGGGUUUGGGGAGUAAUUUGUAAUUUUCCCCUUGAUUUUACUGAAGGACAAUCAAAAUAAUUGCUUGAUUUCACCCAUAAAUUAAUGUUCAGCUGAAGAGGAAAUGAAACGUAGGGCAGCGCAGGCAGGGUCACCCUGAGGUGUUUCAGGCACACCUGGUCGAGGGUCUGAGCUUUCAUUACGUGGGCUUCCUUCUUGAUGGUUUGUUAGGAUGAACGACCUUAGUCCUCGCAACCUAAUUUGUGAAAAAUUAGCUAAAAAUUUAUUCUAGCCUAUAAACAUCUCCAACUCCUCACGACCGAAACCUUCCCUUGAAAGGUAAAGCUACAUUAAUAGCACAGGGAAGAAAUUCCUUAUGCAAAAGUAAAUCUAAAGAUUGAUCUCUUCAUGACUCUCAGCCCUAGAUGUGCAAUACAAUUCUGCUGUGAUGCGUUUUUAGCGAUAAUUAUCUGGCCACCUGAUCUCCUGGAUGUUCACACCCAGUGCCGUUACGGACCUAAACUCCAGUGUCUGCAAGAAUAAUAUAAUCGUUUAAGCCCCAAAGUCUCAUUAGCGUGAUCUGUCCUGGACGUUAAUCUCCUGCCGGGACCUCCCCCAGCAGCUGCCCAGGUGCCCACCUGGGCUUCCUUUCCCAGGACAGAUAAAUUAUGGAAGCUGAGCUCCUCCAGAAGGAUCAGGAAGGUCACACUUUAAUUUACCAUCCGUGACUUGCCACCCUGCAGCUACCAGAAUGAGCACGUGGGCACGGACAAAUAAGCCGUCCCAGUGAGGCAGAGGGAGGCUCUUAGCAGGUGCCCUGUGUGUGUGGGAAAAUGAGUUUAAGGCUGGUCUUAAUUUGUGUCAUCUUAUGUAUUAUCGUGAAUUCUGCCCACCCUCUGAGACCCUGCCCGGGAAACCUAAGGCUGAAUUCACAGCAGAGGAGUGGAGGAAAAGACAGCACUCACUCUUGUCCAGGAAUACCCCCCACUCAUUUUCGUCCUUGGGUCUGGGUCCCUCAACAAGCCACUGUAGACCGUAUACAGUGAAAAAGGCGGCCGUUACCUUCUGUGUCUUGCGUAUUUGCCACUGACGUGACCGCUGCCGUCACAGCCCGGCGUGGGACAGCUGCAACGGGAAAGAGGUAAUUACGUGGGGGCUUCG